rnacentral:rRNA from 1 species
UAAUACAGAGGCCACGAGCGUUAGGCGGAAUCACUGGGCUUAAAGCGCGUGUAGGCGGAUGUCUAAGUACUUUGUGAAAUCCCACGGCUCAACCGUGGAAAUGCUUGGUAUACUGGAUGUCUUGAGGUGCUCAGGGGCGAGCGGAACAAGUGGUGGAGCGGUGAAAUGCGUAGAUAUCACUUGGAACGCCAAUGGUGAAGACAGCUCGCUGGGGGCAUUCUGACGCUGAGACGCGAAAGCCAGGGGAUCAAACGGGAUUAGAUACCCCGGUAGUCCUGGCCCUAAACGAUGUCCACUAGGCUGUGGCACCUCUGACGGUGUCGCGGCCGAAGCAAAAGUGUUAAGUGGACCGCCUGGGAAGUACGGUCGCAAGGCUA